rnacentral:lncRNA from 1 species
CACACACCUCCACACGCGCACAUACACACACAUGCUGACAGGUGUGCACAUAUGCGCACGUGCACACACAAAUACGCACGCACAGCACACACAGACACAUAAGUGUCCAUAAACAACACAGAUCUGGCCUCAGAGCCACCCUCCAGGUGCGGCUGCCCCGGGCCCCAGGUGCGGCUGCACCGUGCUGUGGUGACAGCCACAGCAGGAUCAGAGCAGCCUCAAGGCCCUUCAGGAGCCGGCAGAGCUGGCCCCAGGCUGAGCUUGGGGAGGUGAGCCCAGGCCUGGGACCGACGCUUCCUAAUUGGCGGGCAGAGUCCAUGCAGCCCCUCCCAGUCUACACGGAAGCCCACGUGUCCACCUCCUGCUUCUGCUGUCCCCAGGACAGUGAAAUUUACUAAUGUGGAUUAAGAACAUUUUUUAAAUAAAAAAACAUUUUACACAUUGAGGACGGAAGAGAGAAGAUUACGGCCAACCAACCCCGUGCACUUCCCCGCCCAGGUUCAUGGAGUCUGAGCCCUCUGGCCUCCUGAGCCUCUGGGCUCUGUCACCAGGUGGGCGCCUUCCCCAGCCCGUGAGGCUCGCUGCUCACGGGGGCCCCGAUGCCUGAGUGAUGUCAUGGAUUUAGGUUUCAGUGCUGGCACAUGUGGCCCGCAGAGCUCAGCUCCUCUGUGAGGGACGUUUCGGCUCCUGUGGGCUUUGCUGUCCCCCAUGCUGACUCUGCCUCACUUGGUUGUCCUCAGGUCACUCUGUGCGGUGUGCACUGACCCCAGCCAGUGGAUGUUCCCCGUCCAAGAGCAAAGCUACAGUCGGCUGCAGGUGCAGUGACUUUUGCACAGUGGAAGAAUUUCUCCAGAAGAUAUUCCUGCAGGUGGAAUCACUGGAUCGUAGGCCCAGAUGUCUUCCACUUACUUGAUUUUGCCUGAUGCCUUCCAAGGAGGCUGUGCACAGCAGGUGUGAGAUGCCCCAUCUCACCAACCGGCCAACAUCCCGAUGGGAGAUGUUGAGUUUUCACCACGCUGCUGAGUGUGACGUGGAAUCUUCUUAUUUUAGCUUGCAUUUCCCUGAUUACAAGUCAGGUGGAACAUCUCGAAUAUGUUUCUGGGCCAUUUGAUUUUCCUGCAAGUCACCUGUUCCAGUUCUUUGCCCAUUUCCUGUUGGGUUGGUCAAUAUUUUUUGUGAUUACACGUUGGAUACGUGGCUGGCCUUUGGCUUGCCUUUGACUUCGUUUGUUCUAUCGAAGCAUGUGCAGAAUUGUUAAAUUUUAAUGUAUUCAAAUGCAUUAAUCUCAUUUCUUAUUUUUGUUGUUUUAUUUUUUGUUUUUUGUUUUUUUGAGACAGAGUCUCGCUCUGUCUCCCAGGCUGGAAUACAGUGACACGAUCUUGGCUCACUGCAACCUCUGCCUCCCCACUUCAAGCAAUCCUCCUGCCUCAGCUUCCUGAGAAGCUGGGACCACAGGCAUGUGCCAUCAUGUCCGGCUAAUUUUCUUUUUAAAAUGUUGUAGCAAUGGAGCCUGGGCUCAAGCCAUCUUCCCACCUCAGCCUGCCAAGUAGCUGGGACCACAGACAUGUGCCACUGCUGCGCCCAGCUAGCCUUUAAUAUUUUUAAAUGCUGUAAGAUCUGCAGGUUUUUUUCCAACCAAGUUUAUAGCUUUUCACCCCACGGAUCCCCGAGGCCAUGACAGGCAGUGACCUCCUUGGGGCACCCGCAGAGUCCUCCCCCCCAUCUUGGGAGGGCUUGUCCAGUUUCAGUUUUGUUUGUUUACUAGGCUUUGUUUUACAGUCACUAGUUAAAUUUACUAAGAUUUUUCAACUUCUUGUCUCAAGGGACUUCAUUUUAAUAAACAAUAUCUUUUCUCUUUUCUUUC